UACGUAGGGGGCUAGCGUUGUCCGGAAUCAUUGGGCGUAAAGCGCGUGUAGGCGGCCCGGAAGGUCUGGUGUGAAAACUUGGGGCUCAACCCUAAGCCUGCAUUGGAAACCGUCGGGCUUGAAUCUGGAAGAGGAGAGUGGAAUUCCUGGUGUAGCGGUGAAAUGCGUAGAGAUCAGGAAGAACACCGGUGGCGAAGGCGCUCUGCUAGGCCGCAACUGACACUGAGGGACGAAAGCUAGGGGAGCGAAUGGG
rnacentral:rRNA from 1 species